UAGCUUUCAUCCUAUGCUGGCUUCCAGCAUCACUGGCGACCUACAUCAACUUGCAACAAAGACUUGGAGGAGCCUACUACAUCAUGACAGCUCUGUCUCCACUUAACAGCUUGAUAAAUCCAAUCAUUGUCCUUUCAGUAAACCAUAGGAUGUUUAGACCAAGACAGAAAAAAACCUUGUCAACUAAACUCACGUUGACAACGUCAUUAAAAAGUCCAGGUCGUUCCAGGCGUGAAUUUGUACAUGCAUGAUACAAAUUAUAAACGGAAUACAAUGUUUUAUUAUACAUUUAUAUACUGUGGAAUUUUCACUUAUCUAUUUUUAUUUGAUUAAAUUGUUAUUUAUUGUUAUUUAUUAUUGUCAGUUUACAACAGAAUACAAUGUUUUAUCGUAUGCUAGGG
rnacentral:lncRNA from 1 species